CCUACGGGAGGCAGCAGUGAGGAAUAUUGGUCAAUGGACGAGAGUCUGAACCAGCCAAGUAGCGUGCAGGAUGACUGCCCUAUGGGUUGUAAACUUCUUUUAUAUGGGAAUAAAAUGUUCCACGUGUGGGCUUUUGUAUGUACCAUAUGAAUAAGGAUCGGCUAACUCCGUGCCAGCAGCCGCGGUAAUACGGAGGAUCCGAGCGUUAUCCGGAUUUAUUGGGUUUAAAGGGAGCGUAGGUGGAUUGUUAAGUCAGUUGUGAAAGUUUGCGGCUCAACCGUAAAAUUGCAGUUGAAACUGGCAGUCUUGAGUACAGGAGAGGUGGGCGGAAUUCGUGGUGUAGCGGUGAAAUGCUUAGAUAGCACGAAGAACUCCGAUUGCGAAGGCAGCUCACUGGACUGCAACUGACACUGAGGCUCGAAAGUGUGGGUAUCAAACAGGAUUAGAUACCCCUGUAGUC
rnacentral:rRNA from 1 species